GACGUAGGGGGCCAGCGUUGUUCGGAAUUACUGGGUGUAAAGGGUUCGUAGGCGGUGUGGCAAGUCGGGAGUGAAAUCUCUGGGCUCAACCCAGAGUCUGCUUCCGAAACUGCUGUGCUUGAGUGUGGGAGAGGCGCGUGGAAUUGCAGGUGUAGCGGUGAAAUGCGUAGAUAUCUGCAGGAACACCCGUGGCGAAAGCGGCGAGCUGGAUCACUACUGACGCUGAGGAACGAAAGCUAGGGGAGCAAACAGG
rnacentral:rRNA from 1 species